UUCUAGCCCCGGUUGUAGCGGCAUCCUUUUAUCGGCGGCGCGUCAGCGCCGCCGAUAAAAGAUACAGCGGAAAACGGGUUGGAAU
rnacentral:sRNA from 1 species